rnacentral:rRNA from 1 species
AUUGAACGCUGGCGGCGUGCUUAACACAUGCAAGUCGUGCGGUAACAGGCGUAGCAAUACGUGCUGACGAGCGGCGAACGGGUGCGUAAUACAUGGGAAUCUGCCUUUUAGUGGGGAAUAACCCGGCGAAAGCCGGGCUAAUGCCGCAUAAGAUCUUCGGAUGAAAGCGGGGGAUCGUAAGACCUCGCGCUGAUAGAUGAGCCCAUGCCGGAUUAGCUAGNGGUGAGGUAACGGCUCACCAAGGCGACGAUCCGUAGCUGGUCUGAGAGGACGGCCAGCCACACUGGGACUGAGACACGGCCCAGAC